AGCCCCAGCCGGAGGUGGAAGAUGGCGGAGCCGGGGCCGGACUGCGGAACCCUGCUCGACGAGGCGCUCUCCUCCUUCGUCUUCAACUACCUCGCUGACAGCCAGUAUGAGGUGUCUGAUGAGGAGCACCUCUACUCCGACUUCCCCGAGAUCGAUUUGUCCCAGCUGGAUGCCAGCGACUUCGACUCGGCCGGCUGCUUUGGCGAGCUGCAGUGGUGCGCAGAGCACUCCGAGACCGAGUCCAGCCAGUACAGCACCGACGACUCUGAGCUCUUCCAGAUAAUAGACAGCGAGAACGAAGCGCUGCUGGCGGCCCUCACCGAGACACUGGAUGAUAUGCAGGGAGAUGACGUGGGCCUGGCUGCCUUCCGAUCUAUGGAAGAGGGGGACACGCUCAACCAUGCCUACACCUCGCCUGCCCCCUCCCCCAAACCCACCGCCCCGGUCACGGGGGGGCCGCCCCCGGCCCCCGAGGUUGAUGAGCUGUCUCUACUGAAGAAGUUGCUCCUCUCUCCAUCGCCUCCGAGCUGUGAGGUGCAGAGGGAUGGGAGCGCCCGGCGCCUGGGGACGCCCAAAUCCCGGCCCUCCCGGCCCUGCACAAAGGUGGAUGCUCCCCGGGACCGGCGGGCGGGCACCCCGCAGAGCCGCAGCUGCACCGAGCUGCACCGGCACCUCACCUCCGCCACCCCCUGCGCCCAGACCAAAGCCCCCCGCGCACCCGAGCAGUGCCAGAGCGGCCACCACCACCCGCCCAUGGCCGACUGCGGACAGCACGAGGACGACAGCGACUGCAGUGAGGACUCGCUCAGCUCCGGUGACGCGGUGCCCUCUCCUUCCUCGGCGGAGGACGGCUCCGACGGACGGUUCUCCUGCGAGGGGGGGCUGCACUCGGUGGUGGAGCUCAUCCGCUACAUGCACACCUACUGCCGGCCGCCCUGGAAGCUGCCCGCCUGUGAUGCCGCCGAUGCCAGGCCCCAGCCCUGCAGCAGCCCCUUCAAGAGAGCCAAAGCAGACUGUGCCCCGCGAGAGAGCCGACCGGGCUGCGCCUGGCACGCGGCCGGGGCCUGCCAGAAGCCCGCAGCCUCCUUCUCCAUCCUGAAGGAGCUGCUGGCGCGGGACCUGUUGUGCGAUGUCAGCAAGCCCUACCGCCUGGGCAGGCCUGUGUAUGCCUCCCUGGCCCGGCUGCCCGCUGCCUGCUGCCCCGCAGUGCAGGCACAGGAUGGGGAGGAGGCUGGUGGGGCCUGCAAAUCCAGAGCCAAAGCAGUGCCAGAGAGAGCAGAAGUGCAGCACAGCCCUGGGACUGAGAUGGAGGCCACGCGGGAGCCUGGCGCUGUGGAGGAGGAGGCCGGGAGGCGUGCGAGCACCCCGGGCACAGCUGCGGGGAAGGCGGCCCGCAGGCCCGAGAGCGCCGUUUAUGCCGUCCGACGGUCCAAGAGACUCAACCCUGAGCUGGGCCACUGGCUGUCCUUCCUUGACGAGCUGCCCCCCGACCCUUCCGUGCCCCAGGAGGACUCAGCCAGCGGGGAGCCCACACUGUGCCCGCCGCUGGAGGCCUUCCCCGCUGAAGAGCCCGCGGCCGAAGUGGAAGUGGGCGGCACAGAAGAGGGAGAUGGUGGGAGCGCGGUGCCACCAGCAGAGCCCCAGCCCCUCAUCCCGGCAUCCCUGGGGGAUGGUGAGAGCUGUGAGAGCCAGCGCUGUGCCCCCCAGCAGCAUGCAGAAACACCCCGGUGUCUCACGCUGUCCUUGGCGCAAACCGACUCUGCUUUUGGGAAGAGAAACUCGGAGUCGAUGCUGAACAUGGAGCUGUGUGGUACAGCAGGUCUCACGCCACCCACCACUCCACCGUACAAGCCUGCUGAGGAGGAUCUGUACAAGCCAGACAUCCCCCAGGAGACAGGCAAGGAGGACGGCACAGUCCCCAGCCCCAGAGCUGGCAGCACAGGGGACACAGCCACCUUUCAGAAAGCCAUGAAGAAGCACCCCGAGAGGACAGAGCUCUUGGCCCACCUGAGCCGAGCUGCUGAGCAGCCAGGAGUGCUCAAGCGGCCCCUUUCUCGCUCCUUUGGGGACCAUGACUACUGCCAGGUGCUGAAGCCUGAGGGCACCCUGCAAAGGAAGGUGCUCAAGUCCUGGGAGCCCUCAGGCCAGACUGAGAUCGAGCACAAGAGGAGGGUCCUCGACACGCACUACCAAGGGCUGGACCUUGGCAGCAAGGAGGCAGGCAGCGAGAUGGUGUGGAAGGAUGGCAUCAAGCAGCUGAGAGAUCAGGAGAUCAGAGCCAGUUUAACAAAGCACUUUGGCAUCCCGGACAGUCCUGUUGAUGACGAGGACAUGGCUUUCUGCAAGACCCCCGAGUAUGACACCGUUUUUGACGACAGCUGCAGUGAAAGCGGUUCCCUGGUAGAGGAGGAGGAGGAGGAGGAAGAGGAAGAGGAGGAAGAGGAGCAUUGCGACAGCCCAUUGGACACCAAGCUGUGCCUGCGGAGAAACCCCCUUUCCAGGACCAGUUUGCAUUACUGCUCCCGGAGCAGGUCCAGCUCGGGGUCUUCGUGCUGCCGGUCCCGAUCCCCCACAAGCAGACGCACCUUCAGGUACAGGUGUGAGAACAGUGAGCGGUGGCAGGGUGGCAGCAGGAGCCGGGGCCAGCUUGAGAAGAAACGGGAAAAGGCCAUCGGGGAAGGCCGGGUGGUGUACAUCAGGAACCUCUCCAGCAACAUGAGCUCCAGCGAACUGAAGAAACGCUUCGAGGUGUUUGGUGAGAUCGUGGAGUGCCAGGUCCUGUCCAGGACUAACAGGGGGGAUAAAUACGGCUUCAUCACCUACCGGUAUUCAGAGCACGCCGCCUUAUCUCUGAAGAACGGCACCUCGCUAAGGAAGAGGAACGAGCCUUCCUUCCAGCUCAGCUCUGGUAGCCUCGGGCACUUCUUCUGGACCAGAUACACUGACUUAGUCCUUGGCUGGAUACAUUUUAGUUUUUCAUACACCAUCUCUACCUCCAAGUACCUCUUCAAACUCGCACUUGGAUCCCUCACACUUCUCAGCAGCCUCCUGCAGUUUGACUUCCACAAGGACCUCGCAUGUGCAGAGCACCGAAGAAAUGGCAGCUGGAUGCUGAGCAGAGCCGUGCAGGGAGCUGCCCUCCACCAGCCUGUGGGGCAGCAAAGGGAUCUCCGCACUGCCCUCACAACAGUGAACAUGUUAGAGGGAAACCAUCUCCACUGCAGCAGUGCACGUGUCCUGGAUGUAAUCCUGCCAAAAAAGGAGCAUGAGGUGCCCCGGGCUCUCAGCAAUACCCUGGAGCACAGAGGAUUUACUACUUGUGCAGAAGCUAUUGGAGAAGAGGAACUAGAUUUACCUGCACCCUGCCACACUCCGACCAUGAUUUGUAUCUGCUCAUGUUGAUUUGUAUCACAAGGAGUUUUCAUUUCAGCGAGUUUGCAAAAUAUCAGCAUCUGCCCGGAGAGAGGCAGUGCAAGGAUUCAGCUCACUGCUGCUGAACGGGCAAACUCCCAGGUGAAAGCCUGUGUUCUCUUCACCAACAUCUCCAUCUUUCACUGCGAUCCGCUCAUUUCAGGUCCAGUCAGGAACUCAGCUGUCCAAGGAGAACAGAGAACUCGUGCUUCCACCCGGACCAGGAGCGUUCCUCCUGUGGCCAGCCUGGCUCCGGUUGGUACACGUGGCUGUUCUGAGGGACACGCAAGACAUGGCGAUGGGCUGUCACUGCCAUGCCAAGGGGAACACAGGCCAAAGAGGAGAACUGAAAAGCCUGUUUGGCUGAGGCAGCACACUGUUGUGCCACGCGGGCCGCCACAAAGACAGCCCAGGAGAUAUCAGCAGAUUAUUUACGGUGGUCAUUACCUGCAGCUUCCAGCACCUUCUGGCUAUCCAAACUUAGGGAGGAAAUUAGGGAGAUUAAUUCUUUCUUCAGUGAAAAGAUUAAUAACUCUAAUUAAUUGAGGGUAAGAAAACCAGAUUGCAGGGCAGUACUGAAAAAAUAAACUAUAGACCCCUAUACAGGAGCAAAAAAAUAAUGAUAAAGGACCCCGAGCACUUGGGAAUGAGAAGUGUACAGAAGUGGGCCAAAGUCACAAGAAAGCACUGGGGAGCAUACAGUGGGCAGCAAGCUGAUAAGAAGCUGAUAUGGAGGGAAGAGUUGCACCUGUCCGCAGCAGCUGCAAUGCAUGGGAGGUAAAUGGGAGGUAAAUAUCACCGGGAAGAGGUCUGUAUGAUAAAUUCCUGUAAAAUAAAUAACUAUUGCUCCUCUGAGCAUUUAGCCAAGCACAGUACACUUGCCUGGACACUCUCUCAGGAGUCUUGGUUAAAGCAAUGCAUCUUUAACAAGUCCUCGGCAUCCAAGAGCUGAUGAGAGCAGCCCAGUAACACCAGCCCCUGCAGACAGGUUGCAGCAAGGGCAGUGCCACCAGGGGCUGCAGGGACAGUUUGUGCUGGGACAUUGCUACUGAUCGUGGCCAACAGCUUCUCAUAAGACAGGAAGGGGAGAGCCUUGACUUUUUCAGCCAGCUGUGGGCUACAUGGAGAAACAAUACUAGGAAAGAGAAAGGGAAAGCAUGUGACAGAAGGGUGAUUUCUGCGCAUGUGUAAAUCAAACCAAUUGAAAGCAGCUAGAACCAGAUUCUAACAUCAUUUUCAGCUUUAGUUGAGUUGAUUGGAAAGCCCCUUUUUCUCCUAACCCGAAUUUUAUUCUCUUUUUGGAGAGAAGAUUGUAGCAAAACACCAAGAGGUCAUGGGCCGUUACAGGUUUUUUAAGCAGGAGGUCAGUCUAGCUUCAAAUGUGAUGCUCCAUUCCCUGAGAUACUUCUUCCUCUUACAUAUCUCCUCUUUAAGGGAAGCCAGUGACUGGCUGUUGUGCACGGGGACAACUUCUGAUGCUGACCUUUACUGGCUGGCACCUGCCCAAUGAGGGCAGCAUCCUCAGCAUUUUCCAAAUGCCUGAGCUUGAGCAGCAUCCCUCUGGCUGGAUCUAUCAGCUCUACGUCAGAGCCCUGAGAAUGGUGGUGUGACAGCAAAUACGUGGUUUGAAAAUGUCUUUGGUGCUGCCCUGUUGUAUGAGUCGCAUUUGCUGAGGUGGCCUCAGAAGUGCCAAAGGGAAAGGUGCAUGAAUGCAGGAGCCAGGUGCUCGUAUCCAGAGUGGAGGAGUGCAGGAGUGCUGUUAGUGGGAAGGGAGAGGCUGUUGGUGAGAGGAGCAGAGAGCAACCCCUUCAGUGAGAUGAAGGCAGAGAGGGAACAAAUAUCACAGGAGUUUCACAGUGCUGUCAUGCUGCAGCUCUGCCCUCUGACCCCACCGCGCUGCCCUGUGCCUGCAGGCACUGCUUUGGGCUGAGCUGUGCAUCACAAGUGUGCCCGUGGGCUCAAAGCUCUGAGGCUGGGGUGCUGGGAUAUGCAGUUUCCCUGUGACACUUCUUCUUUCCUGUCUCCUCUUCAAGAGAAACUCUGAAAUAGAGAAAUCCCCUUGUCCUUACUGGGGACUUCAACUUGCUGGAUGUUAACUGAGAACACCACACAGCUGAUACAGGCCGGUCCAGGAGAUUCCUAAAACAGCUCCGUGACAAAAUCCUGGUGCAGAUACUAAAGGAGCUGACAAGGAAACCUGCCAUCCUGGAUCUGCUGUUUGUGAACAGAGAAGGUCUAGUGGAUGAUGUAGUGAUUGGUGGCCAUCUUGGCUAUAGUGACCAUGAAGUGGUGAAAUUGAAAAUCUUUGGAAAUCUGCCACCAAAACCUCAACAGAGCAGAUUUCAGUCUGCCUGGGGAACUUAUUAGUAAGAUUCUCUAGGAAGCUGUUUUUGAAGGCAUUGGGGUCCAUCAGUGCUGGUCACUUUUUAAGUACAACCUCCUGAGAGCACAGCUACAGGCAAUUCCAAAAUGUUGGAAGUCAAGCAAGAGGGGUAGAAGGCCGGCUUGGCUGAACAGGGAUCUUCUGCUAGAGCUUAGGCAGUAAGUGUCUGGCUGCUGGCAGCAAGGUCAGGUGUCAGGAGAAGACUACUAGGAUGCUGUUUGCCUGUAUGGGGAGAAAAAUUGUGUGGCCAAAGCUCAGUUAGAGUUGAAGCUGGCCAAUGCAAUAAAGAGGCUUUUUUUUAAAAAAAAACAACAUUAACAACAAAAGGAGGACCAGAGAGAACACUGGUCCUCUUGAUGGGAAUAGCUGUCUUACAAACAAGGACAUAGACAAAGCAAAGAUGUUAAAUGCUUUCCUUGCCUCUAUCUUCAACACUGAGUUGGAGGACUGUUAGUGGUAAUGAUCAAAUUCCAGCCAACCUCAAUCUUGUGCAGGAUUUGCUGCUCCACGUGGAUGUAUAUAAGACCACAGGACCCCAUGGGAUUCAUCCCAGGGUGUUCAGAGAGCUGGCCAGUGUUAUUGCGAGACCUCGCCCAAUGAUUUUUCAAUGGUCUUUGGAACCUGGAGAAGUCCCAGGCGAUGAGAAGCUGUCAAACCUUCCAGUAUUCAAGAAGGCCAAGAAAGAAGACCCUGGUAGUUACAGGCCUGUCAGACUCACUUCAGUGCCUGGUAAAAUUAUGGACAAAAUUAUGCUGGGAGUUAAUGAAAAACACCUGCGGGACAAUGCGGUCAUUGGUCACAGCCAACACGGGUUCCUAAGGGAAAGGUCCUGUUUAACUAACUUAAUUUCCUAUUACAACAAGGCCACCCAUCUAGAUGAAGACAGGAAGUCAGCUGACGUUAUCCUUUUGGAUUUCAGUACAGCUGUUGAUGCUGUUUCCCAUAGUAUCCUUCUGGAACAGAUGUCCGGCAUAUAGCUAGACAAAAACAUCAGGGUCCCUUCUGACUCAGGGUCCUCUACAUAUGAUAUCUAUAUGACUCUAUGAUUCCAUUCUUUGUACACGUCCUGUUCUUCUCCCUGUUCUUAUGUCUGUUCCAGUGCCUUUCAGCAUGCCUGUAGGAGCAGAGGAGCAGCUCAGCCCCAGGCAUUGCCACCUGUCAGCAUCAGACCACCAGAGCUGGGUACAGCCAGAGGGCUUGCACAGAAAUGCAGAGAGAACAGAGAGAAGCAGCUCUUAAAUCAGUACAAAUAAGGUCCCUCCAUCCUCCUCUCUCCCCUGCUCCUGAAAUGAUAGAGCAUUUCCUCAUUCCAGGAGGAACAAAAGUCUAACUCAAAUUCUGAGGGAAGGUGAGAACCUGGGCAGUGCCGGAGUAUGGAGAAAGUGGACGCGGGGCCAUGCUUUGAGGAUAGAGGAUCCCCAGCUGUUAUCUCAAGAAAUUUAUACAAGAGGACUGACAGAAAGAAAAGUGAAAUCAGGUACAGGUGGAAGCUGUACCACUUCUCAGCUGCCACCCUUCCCAUUUAAGGAGGGCUGACAGCUGUGCUG